rnacentral:rRNA from 1 species
AGAGUUUGAUCCUGGCUCAGGAUGAACGCUAGCGACAGGCUUAACACAUGCAAGUCGAGGGGCAGCGGGGGAGCAGCAAUGCUCCCGCCGGCGACCGGCGCACGGGUGAGUAACACGUAUGGAACCUGCCCGCAGCAGGGGGAUAAGCGGAAGAAAUUCCGUCUAAUACCGCGUAACACCGCGGAGGGGCAUCCCUCGGCGGUUAAAGAUUCAUCGGCUGCGGAUGGCCAUGCGGCGCAUUAGCUAGUCGGCGGGGUAACGGCCCACCGAGGCGACGAUGCGUAGGGGUUCUGAGAGGAAGGUCCCCCACACUGGUACUGAGACACGGACCAGACUCCUACGGGAGGCAGCAGUGAGGAAUAUUGGUCAAUGGCCGGGAGGCUGAACCAGCCAAGUCGCGUGAGGGAAGACGGCCCUACGGGUUGUAAACCUCUUUUGUCAGGGAGCAAGAGGCGGGUCGGGACCUGCUGUGAGAGUACCCGAAGAAAAAGCAUCGGCUAACUCCGUGCCAGCAGCCGCGGUAAUACGGAGGAUGCGAGCGUUAUCCGGAUUUAUUGGGUUUAAAGGGUGCGCAGGCGGAGGCACAAGUCAGCGGUAAAAUCGCGGGGCUCAACCCCGCUCCGCCGUUGAAACUGUGUCCCUUGAGUGCGCGAAGGGUAGGCGGAAUGCGUGGUGUAGCGGUGAAAUGCAUAGAUAUCACGCAGAACUCCGAUCGCGAAGGCAGCCUACCGGCGCGCAACUGACGCUCAUGCACGAAAGCGUGGGUAUCGAACAGGAUUAGAUACCCUGGUAGUCCACGCAGUAAACGAUGAAUGCUAUCUGUCCGGCCGGAAUGACGGCUGGGUGGCACAGCGAAAGCGUUAAGCAUUCCACCUGGGAAGUACGCCGGCAACGGUGAAACUCAAAGGAAUUGACGGGGGCCCGCACAAGCGGAGGAACAUGUGGUUUAAUUCGAUGAUACGCGAGGAACCUUACCCGGGCUCAAACGACACAGGGAUGCCGCCGAAAGGUGGCAGUCCUUCGGGACCUGUGUCGAGGUGCUGCAUGGUUGUCGUCAGCUCGUGCCGUGAGGUGUCGGCUUAAGUGCCAUAACGAGCGCAACCCCCAUCUUCAGUUGCCAUCAGGUAGAGCUGGGCACUCUGGAGAGACUGCCGGCGCAAGCUGCGAGGAAGGCGGGGAUGACGUCAAAUCAGCACGGCCCUUACGUCCGGGGCGACACACGUGUUACAAUGGCAGGUACAGCGGGAAGCCAGGCGGCGACGCCGAGCGGAACCCGAAAACCUGUCUCAGUUCGGAUUGCAGGCUGCAACCCGACUCCGUGAAGCUGGAUUCGCUAGUAAUCGCGCAUCAGCCAUGGCGCGGUGAAUACGUUCCCGGGCCUUGCACACACCGCCCGUCAAG